UAAACACAUCUGCCUAUAAAUAAUACUCAUCUCUCUCAGAGACUCUUCAGUCUUCUUCCCCAAAUAGAAAAGUAGAGAAAAAAAACAAUAAGAAAAAAGAAAAAAAAAGUUGUAGCGAGAGAGAGAGACCAUAGGGUUGUUCUCUAAUCUAAUGGCGUUGAUUUCUUUCUGAAGAAAGAAGAGAAGAUGAUUGAGAACAGGAUUUGGGAUGAGGAUGACCCAAACAACAACAAUUGAUCAGGGAGAGAUGGUUUGAAGUAUGAAUUAUGUAAUUCGGACUUUGGGGAUUUAUUAGGAUCAGUAUGAAUAACGGACGAAGAGGAAGAAGACUCACACUGCUUAAGGAAUUUUAUCUUUAAACAAUGGCAAGGGAGGGCUAAUUGUAACCAGCCAGAAUGCAGGGAGACAGACAUCUUUAAUUGCUUUAAGACAACAAUUGGCUUUUGCCUUCAUUCCGUGUUCUCGCUACUGGACAACAGUUGGCUCUUGUGUUCGCUGCUGGUGCAGAGGACAACAGUUGGCUCUUGUGUUCGCUGCAGGACAACAGUUGGCUUUUGCAUUCAAUCCGUGUGCUCGCUACUGGUGCAGAGGAAAAAAGAACUCUAUGAUGCAAUCAUCUCUUUUAUUUAAAAUGACGCACAAGGUAUUAUUUAUGAAGCCAACCUAUUGGAAGCUGUCCAAAAUUGUGGACACCACUAUCAUCAACAGACUUAAAGAUCAGUGAUGGUUUGAAGAAUGAUGAAGACAACUCAGACGCUUAAGGAAAUUCAAUUUGCAAGUGCUAACCAGCCAGCUCACAGAGAGACAUUUUCAAUUGCUUUAACGGAAGAGGGUUUAAGAAUGAUGAAGAAGAGUCAGACUGCUGAUGGUUUCUACAUUCUUUUGGAAUCAAGGGAGUGUUCAUGCUGCUUCGAGUUCCAGACUAUCACCUUUGCCUCCGGAACUUGCUGAUUUUGGAUAUGGUCGUACUGUUGACAAUCCUCUUGACCUACCGGUCUCUGGAACACAGGUAUAUAGGAUUUGAAGAAGAAAGAGAGGGAGCCCCCAAGUCAAAGAAGCUGAGCUAGACGACAAAAGCAGAUCAGAGAUGGUUUGAAGAAUGAUGAAGAAGACGACUCAGACUGCUUAAGGAAUUUCAUCAUCUUUAAACUAUAGCAAGGGAGGGCUAAGUAACCAGCCUGCAUUACAGAGAGACAUCUUCUAUUGCUUUAACUAAUGAAGCGUCUAACUAAGCAGGUGAUGAUUUAUUUUGUCUCUUUGUAGGAUCCGAAGCGGAAAGAAAAUGUUGCUGCACAAGUUGAUGAUUUAUUUUGCCUCUGUGUAGGAUCUGAAGCGUAGAGAGGAUGCUGCUGCACAAGCUUCUCUAGAUGGAGAUAUAUGGUUCCCUUUCAUCCGCUGGAAAAAUCCUCUUCUUGCUCUGGGUGGGUUAGAAGUGUUCCAUUUCUUGUCCUUAAAGGAUGGCGAUGAGUAGCGGAUAAGAGCAACUCCAACAGGCACACCAAAACACCAAAUUAUAGUGUUAGAGGGGGUAUUCAACUUGAUUUUUUUAGGAUUUGGUAGGAUUUUACUAUUUUAGAAUUUUGAAAGAUUUUAGUAGUUUUUAGGAGAUUUGAUUGUGUUUUUAGAGUUUUUCUAAUUUUUUUUGAAAAAAUGAAUUGUGAUUCUGUUAGAUUUGACUAUUAAAACUUUGAGUGAUUUUAAAAUAUUUUACAUCACAAUACCAAAAAAAAAACAGAUUAAUAGUUGGAACUAUAUCUUCAGUGAUGUUUUUUUGUUUUUUUUUUUGUGUUCAACAAUAAUCUGAUCACUCUCCAUGAGUUCAAGGAAGAGAGAACCUCAACCUGAAAAGUUAUAGUACAACCGAAAACUGCCAUUUAAAGUUUCAAUUAUUUUAUGAAAGCGAAAGCACAUUCCUGUAGCUGUGUUGACGACAUACAUAAUCCUACAGUUUAAAAAGUCUUCUUUUCAGUAUUUUUUUUAGUUUAAUGUGUGGUAAGGAACAUCAAAGUGUACCAGUAAAGAAGUUUUAGAUGACAAUGAGAGCCACAGUCAGUUGAUGGCACUUGCAGGUGACUAGUAUAAGGUGUAAGAGAUAGAGUAGACCUUAUCUUUUAAGGAACCCCACAAAAGAUACAGCAAUCAUCUCCAUGUGGUGUUGGAGCUUCUUGGUGUUACCUUGUUGUUACCUCAACUUCACUCGAUGCAGUGCCAUGUAGGCUAUGAGUCGAUAACCAACCAACAUCACUCCCAUAACAAACACGUCGAUCCACAAAUUGUUCAGUCCCAUUGACUUGAUUGCUGGAAAAUCUCCAACUCUGCACCAGACUCCCUUUGAACACACAUAGUAGUCGUCAUCAGUGUAUUGAAUACCCAAAAGCAGCUUGUAGCAGUAGUAGCUAUAGCUUAGGUACUUGAGCCAUACGAUUAAGGGACGGAUUUGCUGAACGUAAUACCCUCCAGCUAUGAGAAACACGAGUGUAGUAAGAGAUGCUAAUGUUGUGGCUUGCUUGAUGUUCAUAAGCAGAGGACCAAAGGCUAAGCCAAGACCUUGAUCGACAAGGACGGAGUAGAGAACAACCAGUGGUGAUUAGCGGGGGUUAGCGGGAGUAGAGUAACAGAUGCUAUUGUUGUGUUUUUUUUUUUUUUUUUCUCUGAAAUCUUUCAAAAUUCUACCUCUAUAGGUAUAAUUUUGAUUGUCAUACUUUUCAACUAAAAAACAAAAAAAAGUCUUCUAAAAUCAUUCAAAGUAGCAAUUUUAAAAAUGUUGUGAUAUAUUGAAUAAUAAGAGAUUUCAAGUAA